UGUGAGCGGUUAGAUGAUGCUCGUCCUAGCUA
rnacentral:piRNA from 1 species